UACGGGGGGAGCAAGCGUUGUUCGGAUUUACUGGGCGUAAAGGGCGCGUAGGCGGGGAGGUAAGUCGGGUGUGAAAUCCCUCGGCUCAACCGGGGAACUGCGCCCGAGACUGCCUUUCUUGAGUCCCGGAGAGGAAGGUGGAAUUCCCGGGUGUAGCGGUGAAAUGCGUAGAUAUCGGGAGGAACACCAGUGGCGAAGGCGGCUUCCUGGCCUGUUCUUGACGCUGAGGCGCGAAAGCGUGGGGGAGCAAACGGG
rnacentral:rRNA from 1 species